GACGGAGGAUGCGAGUGUUAUCCGGAAUCACUGGGCGUAAAGCGUCUGUAGGUGGUUUAAAAAGUCUGCUGUUAAAAAUUGAAGCUUAACUUCAAAGAUGCCGUAGAAACUUUUAAACUCGAGGAUGGUAGGGGUAGAGGGAAUUUCCAGUGGAGCGGUGAAAUGCGUAGAUCUUGGAAAGACCACCAAUGGCGAAGGCACUCUACUGGGCCAUUACUGACACUAAGAGACGAAAGCUAGGGGAGCAAAUGGG
rnacentral:rRNA from 1 species